AGUGAACGCUGGCGGUAGGCCUAACACAUGCAAGUCGAACGGCAGCACAGUAAGAGCUUGCUCUUACGGGUGGCGAGUGGCGGACGGGUGAGGAAUACAUCGGAAUCUACUUUUUCGUGGGGGAUAACGUAGGGAAACUUACGCUAAUACCGCAUACGACCUACGGGUGAAAGCAGGGGAUCUUCGGACCUUGCGCGAUUGAAUGAGCCGAUGUCGGAUUAGCUAGUUGGCGGAGUAAAGGCCCACCAAGGCGACGAUCCGUAGCUGGUCUGAGAGGAUGAUCAGCCACACUGGAACUGAGACAAGGUCCAGAAUCCUAAGGGAGGCAGCAGUGGGGAAAAUUUGACAAUGGGCGCAAGCCUGAUCCAGCCAUACCGCGUGGGUGAAGAAGGCCUUCGGGUUGUAAAACCCUUUUUUUGGGAAAGAAAAGAAGAAGGUUAAUACCCCGCUGGUUUGAAGGGACCCAAAGAAUAAGCACCGGCUAACUUCGUG
rnacentral:rRNA from 1 species